AGCACCGGGCGCACAGAGGCAGCCAGGCAGGACGAUGUCACAGAAAAAAAUAUCCCAGUUCUUUACCCCAAAGGUUGCAAGCAGUCAAAGAGAUGAUGAUGAUCAAGAUGGCGCUGCUGCUGCUUCUUCUUCAAAUGCUGCUGCCAUCAUACAGAGAAGUGCAAGGGAUAUUGAAGCCCCAGAUGUGUCAAAAUCCUGG